AUUGAACGCUGGCGGCAGGCCUAACACAUGCAAGUCGAGCGGCAGCGGGAAAGUAGCUUGCUACUUUUGCCGGCGAGCGGCGGACGGGUGAGUAAUGCGUCGGAACGUGCCGAGUAAUGGGGGAUAACGCAUCGAAAGGUGUGCUAAUACCGCAUACGCUCUGAGGAGGAAAGCGGGGGACCUUCGGGCCUCGCGUUAUUCGAGCGGCCGACGUCUGAUUAGCUAGUUGGUGGGGUAAAGGCUCACCAAGGCGACGAUCAGUAGCGGGUCUGAGAGGAUGAUCCGCCACACUGGGACUGAGACACGGCCCAGACUCCUACGGGAGGCAGCAGUGGGGAAUUUUGGACAAUGGGCGAAAGCCUGAUCCAGCCAUGCCGCGUGAGUGAAGAAGGCCUUCGGGUUGUAAAGCUCUUUUGUCCGGGAGGAAAUCCCGUAACCCAAUACGUUACGGGGAUGACAGUACUGGAAGAAUAAGCACCGGCUAACUACGUGCCAGCCGCC
rnacentral:rRNA from 1 species